GUGACUGCGUACCUUUUGUAUAAUGGGUCAGCGACUUAUAUUCUGUAGCAAGGUUAACCGAAUAGGGGAGCCGGAGGGAAACCGAGUCUUAAUUGGGCGUUAAGUUGCAGGGUAUAGACCCGAAACCCGGUGAUCUAGCCAUGGGCAGGUUGAAGGUUGGGUAACACUAACUGGAGGACCGAACCGACUAAUGUUGAAAAAUUAGCGGAUGACCUGUGGCUGGGGGUGAAAGGCCAAUCAAACCGGGAGAUAGCUGGUUCUCCCCGAAAGCUAUUUAGGUAGCGCCUCGUGAAUUCAUCUCCGGGGGUAGAGCACUGUUUCGGCUAGGGGGCCAUCCCGGCUUACCAACCCGAUGCAAACUGCGAAUACCGGAGAAUGUUAUCACGGGAGACACACGGCGGGUGCUAACGUCCGUCGUGAAGAGGGAAACAACCCAGACCGCCAGCUAAGGUCCCAAAGUCAUGGUUAAGUGGGAAACGAUGUGGGAAGGCCCAGACAGCCAGGAUGUUGGCUUAGAAGCAGCCAUCAUUUAAAGAAAGCGUAAUAGCUCACUGGUCGAGUCGGCCUGCGCGGAAGAUGUAACGGGGCUAAACCAUGCACCGAAGCUGCGGCAGCGACGCUGAUGCGUUGUUGGGUAGGGGAGCGUUCUGUAAGCCUGYGAAGGUGGCCUGUGAGGGUUGCUGGAGGUAUCAGAAGUGCGAAUGCUGACAUAAGUAACGAUAAAGCGGGUGAAAAGCCCGCUCGCCGGAAGACCAAGGGUUCCUGUCCAACGUUAAUCGGGGCAGGGUGAGUCGACCCCUAAGGCGAGGCCGAAAGGCGUAGUCGAUGGGAAACGGGUUAAUAUUCCCGUACUUGGUGUUACUGCGAAGGGGGGACGGAGAAGGCUAUGUUGGCCGGGCGACGGUUGUCCCGGUUUAAGCGUGUAGG
rnacentral:rRNA from 1 species